rnacentral:rRNA from 1 species
UAACACAUGCAAGUCGAGCGGUAGCACAGAGAGCUUGCUCUCGGGUGACGAGCGGCGGACGGGUGAGUAAUGUCUGGGAAACUGCCUGAUGGAGGGGGAUAACUACUGGAAACGGUAGCUAAUACCGCAUAACGUCGCAAGACCAAAGUGGGGGACCUUCGGGCCUCAUGCCAUCAGAUGUGCCCAGAUGGGAUUAGCUAGUAGGUGGGGUAACGGCUCACCUAGGCGACGAUCCCUAGCUGGUCUGAGAGGAUGACCAGCCACACUGGAACUGAGACACGGUCCAGACUCCUACGGGAGGCAGCAGUGGGGAAUAUUGCACAAUGGGCGCAAGCCUGAUGCAGCCAUGCCGCGUGUGUGAAGAAGGCCUUCGGGUUGUAAAGCACUUUCAGCGGGGAGGAAGGCGAUAAGGUUAAUAACCUUGUCGAUUGACGUUACCCGCAGAAGAAGCACCGGCUAACUCCGUGCCAGCA